GGUGAGUCAUGGACAUGGGGUGGAGGAAUACAGAAGGUCCGGGGGUGUUCCGGCGUUAGGUGGUUUAAGGUGAGCCUAGGCCGGAGAUUAAGCGGGUUGUGAAAUGUAGACGCUCAACGUCUGCACUGCAGCGCGAACUGGUGUCCUUGAGUACGCACAAAGUGUGCGGAAGUCGGGGUGUAGCGGUGAAAUGCUUAGAUAUCACGAAGAACUCCGAUUGCGAAGGCAGCGCACUGGAGCGCAACUGACGCUGAAGCUCGAAAGUGCGGGUAUCGAACAGGAUUAGAUACCCCUGUAGUC
rnacentral:rRNA from 1 species